ensembl:snRNA U12 U12 minor spliceosomal RNA
AUGCCUGAAACUUAUGAGUUAGGAAAAUAAUGAUUCGGGGUGACACCUGAAUCCUCACUCCUUAUAUGAGAUGAAUUUUUGAGCGGGUAAAGGUCGCCCC